GUGAAGAACGUAGCGAAAUGCGAUACGUAAUGUGAAUUGCAGAAUUCAGUGAAUCAUCGAAUCUUUGAACGCAUAUUGCGCUCUCUGGUAUUCCGGAGAGCAUGCUUGUUUGAGUAUCAGUAAACACCUCAACUCCCUUUUCUUUUUUGAAAUUGGAGCUGGACUUGAGUGAUCCCAACGCUUUCUUCCAAGAAAGUGGCGGGUUGCUUGAAAUGCAGGUGCAGCUGAACUUUUCUCUGAGCUAUAAGCAUAUCUAUUUAGUCUGCCUAAAAAACAGAUUAUUACCUUUGCUGCAGCUAACAUAAAGGAGACUAGUUCUUGUGCUGACUGAUGCAGGAUUCACAGAGACAGCUUCGGCUGACUUUGUAAACUCGAUCUCAAAUCAAGUAAGACUACCCGCUGAACUUAAGCAUAUCAAUAAGCGGAGGA
rnacentral:misc_RNA from 1 species